rnacentral:lncRNA from 1 species
GCCUAAUGUACAUUCCAUUGCAAUUUAAUACGAUGUUUAUUAUUGUUGCGCAACUAAAAACCUCAUUUUAAGUAAAUAGCGCAAAUUGCACUGCAAACUUCAAGAAUCAAUAUUUUCGAAGAAAACACCAACAAUGAAUCUACCGAGACAACCUAUAAAUUUUACACAAUUAUAUUUCAAAUACAUAUUGCGACGAUAAACAACAACGACUAAGUAGCUAGUAAGCCUAUUAUAUCAACUAAACUCGGCCACUAGCAAAUUCUAGAUACACGUUUAUAUUUAUAGUACAUUUUAAAGGAAGAAAAUAGCUAAAUGCUCACGUUAAAGGAAGAUUAUACAUAAUUCUCAAUUUGUAAUUCCUCACAUGUACAGGCUGCUUACCAUUUAAACGUUUUUCGUACGUACGCGUGUAGCCAUGUAUAGCCAGUGUAGGGACGAGAAAGUUUAAAGUAAUUACAUCAACAGAUACACUUUAAUUAAAUUCAAUCUAUGCACAAAAUUAGAUGCUGUUCUUUUAUUCAUUUCGUUAUUUCAUGC